rnacentral:rRNA from 1 species
GACGAACGCUGGCGGCGUGCUUAACACAUGCAAGUCGAACGGAAAGGCCCUGCUUUUGUGGGGUGCUCGAGUGGCGAACGGGUGAGUAACACGUGAGUAACCUGCCCUUGACUUUGGGAUAACUUCAGGAAACUGGGGCUAAUACCGGAUAGGAGCUCCUGCUGCAUGGUGGGGGUUGGAAAGUUUCGGCGGUUGGGGAUGGACUCGCGGCUUAUCAGCUUGUUGGUGGGGUAGUGGCUUACCAAGGCUUUGACGGGUAGCCGGCCUGAGAGGGUGGCCGGCCCCUUUGGGUCUGAGUAACGGCCCGCACCCCAUCGGGGGGAAGGGGGGGGGAAUUUUGACAAAGGGGCGGAAGCCUGAUGGAGCAACCCCCGGUGCGGGAUGGCGGCCUUCGGGUUGUAAACCGCUUUCGCCUGGGACGAAGGGGGAUGGCGGUUAAUGGGUAAAAAGACCCCGCCAAACUCCUU